rnacentral:rRNA from 1 species
GAUGAACGCUGGCGGCGUGCCUAAUACAUGCAAGUCGAGCGAACGGACGAGAAGCUUGCUUCUCUGAUGUUAGCGGCGGACGGGUGAGUAACACGUGGAUAACCUACCUAUAAGACUGGGAUAACUUCGGGAAACCGGAGCUAAUACCGGAUAAUAUUUUGAACCGCAUGGUUCAAAAGUGAAAGACGGUCUUGCUGUCACUUAUAGAUGGAUCCGCGCUGCAUUAGCUAGUUGGUAAGGUAACGGCUUACCAAGGCAACGAUGCAUAGCCGACCUGAGAGGGUGAUCGGCCACACUGGAACUGAGACACGGUCCAGACUCCUACGGGAGGCAGCAGUAGGGAAUCUUCCGCAAUGGGCGAAAGCCUGACGGAGCAACGCCGCGUGAGUGAUGAAGGUCUUCGGAUCGUAAAACUCUGUUAUUAGGGAAGAACAUAUGUGUAAGUAACUGUGCACAUCUUGACGGUACCUAAUCAGAAAGCCACGGCUAACUACGUGCCAGCAGCCGCGGUAAUACGUAGGUGGCAAGCGUUAUCCAGAAUUAUUGGGCGUAAAGCGCGCGUAGGCGGUUUUUUAAGUCUGAUGUGAAAGCCCACGGCUCAACCGUGGAGGGUCAUUGGAAACUGGAAAACUUGAGUGCAGAAGAGGAAAGUGGAAUUCCAUGUGUAGCGGUGAAAUGCGCAGAGAUAUGGAGGAACACCAGUGGCGAAGGCGACUUUCUGGUCUGUAACUGACGCUGAUGUGCGAAAGCGUGGGGAUCAAACAGGAUUAGAUACCCUGGUAGUCCACGCCGUAAACGAUGAGUGCUAAGUGUUAGGGGGUUUCCGCCCCUUAGUGCUGCAGCUAACGCAUUAAGCACUCCGCCUGGGGAGUACGACCGCAAGGUUGAAACUCAAAGGAAUUGACGGGGACCCGCACAAGCGGUGGAGCAUGUGGUUUAAUUCGAAGCAACGCGAAGAACCUUACCAAAUCUUGACAUCCUUUGACAACUCUAGAGAUAGAGCUUUCCCCUUCGGGGGACAAAGUGACAGGUGGUGCAUGGUUGUCGUCAGCUCGUGUCGUGAGAUGUUGGGUUAAGUCCCGCAACGAGCGCAACCCUUAAGCUUAGUUGCCAUCAUUAAGUUGGGCACUCUAAGUUGACUGCCGGUGACAAACCGGAGGAAGGUGGGGAUGACGUCAAAUCAUCAUGCCCCUUAUGAUUUGGGCUACACACGUGCUACAAUGGACAAUACAAAGGGCAGCGAAACCGCGAGGUCAAGCAAAUCCCAUAAAGUUGUUCUCAGUUCGGAUUGUAGUCUGCAACUCGACUACAUGAAGCUGGAAUCGCUAGUAAUCGUAGGUCAGCAUGCUACGGUGAAUACGUUCCCGGGUCU